AUAUUCCUGUACUUGGUGUUACUGCGAAGGGGGGACGGAGAAGGCUAUGUUGGCCGGGCGACGGUUGUCCCGGUUUAAGCGUGUAGGCUGGUUUUCCAGGCAAAUCCGGAAAAUCAAGGCUGAGGCGUGAUGACGAGGCACUACGGUGCUGAAGCAACAAAUGCCCUGCUUCCAGGAAAAGCCUCUAAGCAUCAGGUAACAUCAAAUCGUACCCCAAACCGACACAGGUGGUCAGGUAGAGAAUACCAAGGCGCUUGAGAGAACUCGGGUGAAGGAACUAGGCAAAAUGGUGCCGUAACU
rnacentral:rRNA from 1 species